rnacentral:rRNA from 1 species
GAUGAACGCUGGCGGCGUGCCUAAUACAUGCAAGUCGAGCGAACGGACGAGAAGCUUGCUUCUCUGAUGUUAGCGGCGGACGGGUGAGUAACACGUGGAUAACCUACCUAUAAGACUGGGAUAACUUCGGGAAACCGUAGCUAAUACCGGAUAAUAUUUUGAACCGCAUGGUUCAAAAGUGAAAGACGGUCUUGCUGUCACUUAUAGAUGGAUCCGCGCUGCAUUAGCUAGUUGGUAAGGUAACGGCUUACCAAGGCAACGAUGCAUAGCCGACCUGAGAGGGUGAUAGGCCACACUGGAACUGAGACACGGUCCAGACUCCUACGGGAGGCAGCAGUAGGGAAUCUUCCGCAGUGGGCGAAAGCCUGACGGAGCAACGCCGCGUGAGUGAUGAAGGUCUUCGGAGCGUAAAACUCUGUUAUUAGGGAAGAACAUAUGUGUAAGUAACUGUGCACAUCUUGACGGUACCUAAUCAGAAAGCAACGGCUAACUACGUG